GGAGGCUUUAGCUUAAUUAAAGUGUCUGAGUUGCAUUCAGGAGAUGUACAUUAGGGUUGUACAAGUCUUC
rnacentral:tRNA from 1 species